GCCACCUUAUCUGACUUUACUAUGCCCCAUUCAUUCUAUUUCCCUCCAACCCCCAGCUUACCCUUUGUUACAGUCUUUGAACUUUCUAUUCCAGACUGAAGAAUCUGCACACUUCUGCUAUUAACUCCCCAUUUUAGAAGACAUUCAUUACACAGAGAAGCCCAGCAACAGUUCUACUGAAGAUACUGCAAAAAACUGAGAUUUCUGCCUUGUACUUUUCAAUACUAAUAGUUACAUCACGAUUUGUCCCCUUUAAUUUUCAAAGGAGUAUGGACCUGUAUAUAAUGAGGUUUUAUGUUGAAGUGUCUUGCUGCAAUUCAUGAAGAGUCCUAGGAGAUCUGCAUCCAACCUCCAACACUGCGUCUUUGAAGAUAUCAUUUCCAACCACCCCGUGUACUGUCGCUCCAGUGCCACUGGCUUCCUUCAGAUCCUGAGUGGUAAGAUUCCUGUUUCUCAGGGUCAUUGUGUUGUUCCCUCGGCUUUGUGUUCUCUAUUGUACAUUCACGGGGUUAUGUCUUCCUUAUAAUCCAAACCGACCACACCAAAAAACUUCUUCAGUUAU